GUGGUCAAGUUGUGUAGGGCAUUCGGUGGAUGCCUGGGCACUAGGAGCUGAUGAAGGACGUGGGAGGCUGCGAUAUGCCUCGGGGAGCUGUCAACCGAGCUGAGAUCCGAGGGUUUCCGAAUGGGGUAACCUGGCACCCGUGAUGGGGUGUCGCCACUGCCUGAAUGUAUAGGGUGGUGGGGGGAACGCGGGGAAGUGAAACAUCUUAGUACCCGUAGGAAGAGAAAACAAAUUGUGAUUCCGUGAGUAGUGGCGAGCGAAAGCGGAGGAGGCUAAACCGUGCGCAUGUGAAAAUUGUCAGGUGUUGUGUGUGCGGGGUUGUGGGAUCCAUUGUCUGAGGGCUGACACUCUCAGCGCUGCUUGGCAUGGUUAGUGGAACAGUCUGGGAUGGCUGGCCGGAGUGGGUGAGAGUCCCGUACGCGAAAACUGUGUUGUGGUGGUGUGGUGGUGUUCCCGAGUAGCAGCGUACUCGUGAAAUUCGCUGUGAAUCUGCCGGGACCACUCGGUAAGCCUAAAUACUUCCUAGUGACCGAUAGCGGACAAGUACCGUGAGGGAAAGGUGAAAAGUACCCCGGGAGGGGAGUGAAAGAGUACCUGAAACCGUGUGCCUACAAGCCAUCAGAGCAUGAUCUUUGGGUUGUGUGAUGGUGUGCCUUUUGAAGAAUGAGCCUGCGAGUUCGUGCUGCGUGGCGAGGUUAACCCGUGGUGGGGUAGCCGUAGCGAAAGCGAGUCUGAAGAGGGCGUGUGAGUCGCGUGGUCGAGACCCGAAGCGGGGUGAUCUACCCAUGGCCAGGCUGAAGCGAGGGUAAGACCUCGUGGAGGGCCGAACCCACCAGGGUUGAAAACCUGGGGGAUGAGUUGUGGGUAGGGGUGAAAGGCCAAUCAAACUCCGUGAUAGCUGGUUCUCCCCGAAAUGCAUUUAGGUGCAGCGUCGCGUGUUUCUCAUCUGGGGUAGAGCUACUGGAUGGCCUAGGGGGCCGACAAGCUUACCGAAGUCAGCCAAACUCCGAAUACAGGUGUGUGAAGCGUGGCAGUGAGACGGCGGGGGAAAAGCUUCGUCGUCGAGAGGGAAACAGCCCAGAACUCCAGCUAAGGCCCCUAAGUGUGCGCUAAGUGGGAAAGGAUGUGGGAUUGCCCAGACAACCAGGAGGUUGGCUUAGAAGCAGCCAUCCUUGAAAGAGUGCGUAAUAGCUCACUGGUCAAGUGGUCCUGCGCCGACAAUGUAGCGGGGCUCAAGCGCAUCGCCGAAGCUGAGUCACUCACACAAAUACAUCCGCUCAACCUCUUUGUGGGUUGUGUGUAGUGGUGUGGGUGGGUAGGGGAGCGUCCUGCAUCCAGGGAAGCCGCCGUGGAAGCGAGUGGUGGAGGGUGUGGGAGUGAGAAUGCAGGCAUGAGUAGCGAAUGCAGAGUGAGAAUCUCUGCCGCCGGAUGACCAAGGGUUCCUGGGCCAGGUUGUUCCGCCCAGGGUUAGUCGGGGCCUAAGGCGAGGCCGACAGGCGUAGUCGAUGGAUAACGGGUUGAUAUUCCCGUACCCGUGUGUGUGCGUCCCUAAUGAAACGGUUGAUACUAACCACCCGCUACUGUUCUGGGUCUUCGGAUCUGGGGUGGUGGUGCGUGGGGCCUGAUUCCGCGGUAGUUAAGUGAUGGGGUGACGCAGGAGGGUAGCUCUGCCAGUGAGUGGUAGUACUGGUGUAAGCGUGUGGCCCGUCCGGUUGGUAAAUCCGCCGGGCUGUCUUGGAUGACGUGGGUGAGGCGUGAUGCGUAGCCGGUUGAGGUGAAGUGAGUGAUCCCAUGCUGCCGAGAAAAGCCUCUAGCGAGUGUGUACACGGCCCGUACCCUAAACCGACACAGGUGGUCAGGUAGAGAAUACUGAGGCGUUCGGGUGAACUAUGGUUAAGGAACUCGGCAAAAUGCCCCCGUAACUUCGGGAGAAGGGGGGCCAACCCUGGUGAUAGAGCUAGCCUCUGGAGCUGGGGGUGGCCGCAGAGACCAGCGGAAAGCGACUGUUUACUAAAAACACAGGUCCAUGCGAAGACGCAAGUCGAGGUAUAUGGACUGACGCCUGCCCGGUGCUGGAACGUUAAGAGGACCCGUUAGCUGACAUUGUUGGUGAAGCGGAGAAUUUAAGCGCCAGUAAACGGCGGUGGUAACUAUAACCAUCCUAAGGUAGCGAAAUUCCUUGUCGGGUAAGUUCCGACCUGCACGAAUGGCGUAACGACUUUCCGGCUGUCUCAACCAUAGGCCCGGUGAAAUUGCACUACGAGUAAAGAUGCUCGUUACGCGCGGCAGGACGGAAAGACCCCGGGACCUUUACUAUAGCUUGGUAUUGGUGUUUGGUUCGGCUUGUGUAGGAUAGGUGGGAAACGGUGAAGCCUUCACGCUAGUGGGGGUGGAGUUGAUCUUGAAAUACCACUCUGGUCGUACUGGGCAUCUAACCUCGGACCAUGAUCUGGUUUAGGGACAGUGCCUGGUGGGUAGUUUAACUGGGGCGGUUGCCUCCCAAAAGGUAACGGAGGCGCCCAAAGGUUCCCUCAGCUUGGUUGGCAAUCAGGUGGUGAGUGCAAGUGCACAAGGGAGCUUGACUGUGAGACUGACGGGUCGAGCAGGGACGAAAGUCGGGACUAGUGAUCCGGCCAUGGCUUGUGGAAGCGUGGUCGCUCAACGGAUAAAAGGUACCCCGGGGAUAACAGGCUGAUCUUGCCCAAGAGUCCAUAUCGACGGCAUGGUUUGGCACCUCGAUGUCGGCUCGUCGCAUCCUGGGGCCGGAGUAGGUCCCAAGGGUUGGGCUGUUCGCCCAUUAAAGCGGCACGCGAGCUGGGUUUAGAACGUCGUGAGACAGUUCGGUCCCUAUCCGCCGCGCGCGUAGGAGACUUGCGGAAGGCUGUCCCUAGUACGAGAGGACCGGGACGGACGAACCUCUGGUGUGCCAGUUGUACCGCCAGGUGCACGGCUGGUUGGCUACGUUCGGAAGGGAUAACCGCUGAAGGCAUCUAAGCGGGAAGCCUGUUCCUAGAUGAGGUCUCCCACCCCCAUGUGGGUUAAGGCCCCCACCAGACCAGUGGGUUGAUAGGCCAGACAUGCAAGCACAGUAAUGUGUGUAGUGGACUGGUACUAAUAGGCCGAGGACUUACCCAC
rnacentral:rRNA from 1 species